rnacentral:rRNA from 1 species
AACGAACGCUGGCGGCAGGCUUAACACAUGCAAGUCGAACGCCCCGCAAGGGGAGUGGCAGACGGGUGAGUAACGCGUGGGAACGUACCUUUCGCUUCGGAAUAGUCCCGGGAAACUGGGUUUAAGACCGGAUACGCCGUAUUGGGAAAGAUUUAUCGGCGAAAGAUCGGCCCGCGUUGGAUUAGCUAGUUGGCGGUGUAAGAGACCACCAAGGCGACGAUCCAUAGCUGGUCUGAGAGGAUGAUCAGCCACACUGGGACUGAGACACGGCCCAGACUCCUACGGGAGGCAGCAGUGGGGAAUCUUGGACAAUGGGCGCAAGCCUGAUCCAGCCAUGCCGCGUGAGUGAAGAAGGCCUUAGGGUUGUAAAACUCUUUCGCCGGAGAAGAUAAUGACGGUAUCCGGAGAAGAAGCCCCGGCUAACUUCGUGCCAGCAGCCGCAGUAACAC